UGCCAGCAGCCGCGGUAAUACGGAGGGUCCAAGCGUUAUCCGGAAUCAUUGGGUUUAAAGGGUUCGCAGGCGGUUUAUUAAGUCAGUGGUGAAAUCUCGGGGCUCAACUCCGAAACUGCCAUUGAUACUGAUAGACUUGAAUAUAGUUGGAGUAGGCGGAAUGUGUAGUGUAGCGGUGAAAUGCUUAGAUAUUACACAGAACACCGAUAGCGAAGGCAGCUUACUAAACUAUUAUUGACGCUCAUGAACGAAAGCGUGGGGAGCGAACAGGAUUAGAAACCCCCGUAGUCC
rnacentral:rRNA from 1 species